GCUGACACUCAAUCAUAUAUAAAACAGUUAAAAAAACUACUUACACAUCAAUUUACUACUAACUACAAAAUUACAAGUACUAAAAAGGAAAUAAUAUUAAUUUUAAGUAGUGAUAACCCACGUACCUUGUGCAUUAUGGUUUUACAAGAUAAAAAUUAAAAACAUUAUUCCCGAAUCCUACGCGAGCUGCUUCUAUAUAGCUAAGAGCCCACUACUAGUUGUAGCAACAACUCUAGAAAAUAUAUUAGCAGAGGCUACAUACCACACGCGCUAGAAAAUCGCUGGUUUUCAGUAAAACUUAUUAAUUAAAACAUGCAGUACCCCUGCAGUGUAAGAUUUCAGAGGAUAAGCCCUGUAAUCUCAAGCUAUGCUCUAAGCACACAAUAACAUUAGGCCUAAAAACAGCCAUCACAAAUACUUCACCGUAUAAAAUAAUUCACAAUCACUAAUUCUGCAUGCCCAAACUAACUGAAAUUUAGGAAAAACCUUAAUCCCUAAAAUAUUCUGUAAAAAUAAGUAUUAGAAAAAUAAAAAUAACACACUUAAAACAUAUUCCAUAAUUAACGACCAAACACUUAUAAAGGAACUCGGCAAAUUCUUAUUUCGACUGUUA
rnacentral:rRNA from 1 species